rnacentral:lncRNA from 1 species
GGUGGGUGUGCUCGGUGUCUGCUCACAGCCGGCUGCUCCUCAGGGAGAGCUCAGAUCGGGAUGUUGGAAAUGUGCGGGAGGCUCUGACUGGGACUUGCUGUGGGAUAAAAUAUGAAAUUCUCCAGGCUGGCCAGCAGGGAAGAGAGCAUGAUUGGAUCCCUGCGCUCCACACUCACCGGAUUUUGAGUUUCUGCAAGGAUGGAAAAUCCCCCUGCUGUGGGAUAAGCUGCCCCGUGUGCGCCUGCCUCAGCAUGCUGAAAGCUCCCACCUGGAUUCCAACAUCACACCAGCUCCUGGCCAUCAAACCUCGCUAGAACUUUGUCUGCUCAACUCCAGAGCCUGCUCAGCUCUGCCCUGCUCCUGCAGCCCAUGAUCCCAUCCCUCUAAUGAGCUGAACGAGCCCAGCGAGGAGCUCCAGGCUCUGUCUAACACACCGGCCCUGUUGCAGAGCUCAGUGGUGCUGCCAGCAGCUCCCCCAUGGCUGCAGCCAGCGGCGAGGGGACAGCAGGGACCCGGCUGCUGCCAGCUGGCACUGCCCUGGCCCUGCUCGGUGGCCUGGUCUACCUGGGCACCCUGUGUGCUGCCUGCAAACGGAAGGGCAGGAAGAAGGUCGCUCCGGACGGGGUGAAGCUCGUGGAGGAGGCCCUGCUCUGCCAGACACAGCUGCGCUCACUCAGCAAGUCGGACACGAAG